UGAUGUGGGUGAUGAAAACAUGAAAUAUCAGUUAUCCCUGUCUGAUUUUUCGAUGCUGAUGAUUCAUGAUCUGACAUAAAC
rfam:Cucumis melo, WGS project CAJI01000000 data, contig: 08968